rnacentral:rRNA from 1 species
UCAGGGAUAGCCUUUCGAAAGAAAGAUUAAUACCUGAUAGUACUUUUUUCAAGGCAUCUUGAGAAAGUUAAAGAGUUUAUUGGUUAUGGAUGGGGAUGCGUUCCAUUAGAUAGUUGGUGACGGUAACGGCUCACCAAGUCUUCGGAUGGAUAGGGGGUUCUCGAGAGGAAGGUCCCCCACAUUGGUACUGAGACACGGACCAAACUCCUACGGGAGGCAGCAGUGAGGAAUAUUGGUCAAUGGGCGAGAGCCUGAACCAGCCAAGUAGCGUGAAGGAAUGAAGGUCCUAUGGAUUGUAAACUUUCUUUUAUAGUAGAAUAAAGUGAUCCACGUGUGGAUUUUUGUAUGUAUACUGUGAAUAAGGAUCGGCUAACUCCGUGCCAGCCGCGGC